GAUUCCCCUAGUAACUGCGAGUGAAGCGGGAAAAGCUCAAAUUUAAAAUCUGGCAGUCUUUGGCUGUCCGAGUUGUAGUCUAGAGAAGUGUUUUCCGCGCUGGACCGUGUACAAGUCUCUUGGAACAGAGCGUCAUAGAGGGUGAGAAUCCCGUCCAUGACACGGACUACCAGUGCUUUGUGAUGCGCUCUCAAAGAGUCGAGUUGUUUGGGAAUGCAGCUCAAAAUGGGUGGUAAAUUCCAUCUAAAGCUAAAUAUUGGCGAGAGACCGAUAGCGAACAAGUACCGUGAGGGAAAGAUGAAAAGCACUUUGGAAAGAGAGUUAAACAGUACGUGAAAUUGCUGAAAGGGAAACGAUUGAAGUCAGUCGCGUUAUUCAGAACUCAGCCUUGCCUUGGCAUGGUGCAUUUUCUGUUUAACGGGCCAGCAUCAGUUUUGAUUGCCGGAAAAAGGUCAGAGGAAUGUGGCACCUUCGGGUGUGUUAUAGCCUCUGAUUGUAUACGGUGGUUGGGACUGAGGAUCGCAGCACGCCUUUAUGGCCGGGGUUCGCCCACGUUCGUGCUUAGGAUGCUGGCGUAAUGGCUUUAAACGG
rnacentral:rRNA from 1 species